AGCUACACAUGCUCGCGCCGGAUGCGAACCAGCGAAGCUGUUCGACACUAAACUCUGUUUAGUGAACGUGCUUUAGCACGGCCCGAAGGGUGAGCCUUGUAAAGGCGAAUCAUCCAGCACGACACACCA
rnacentral:sRNA from 1 species